GGGGGGGUCUACCUCCAGCAUGCUGACAUCAAAAGGCUCUUUGGUGGCAGCCUUCACAAGGAGGAGCAUCUCACUACGGACUCCUGGAGACACAUCCAACUUACUUCAUAUAAACACCUCCCUCUGCAACUGUGUCCUGGACUUCCUGACGGGCCACCCCCAGGUGGUAAGGGGACACAGACUGCUGGCUGGGACAAAUGGCCUCCUGGGAGCCCUGGUCGGCAUGCAUUAAAGCACACUGCACUCUUCUUCUCUCCUUCGUCAGCCUCUCUCCUCUCGCCCUGCAUCUGCCACUUCCUACCUCCAAUCAUCCCUUGCCCUGCA
ensembl:lncRNA